rnacentral:rRNA from 1 species
CCUACGGGCGGCUGCAGUAGGGAAUCUUCCACAAUGGGCGAAAGCCUGAUGGAGCAACGCCGCGUGGGUGAAGAAGGUCUUCGGAUCGUAAAACCCUGUUGUUAGAGAAGAAAGUGCGUGAGAGUAACUGUUCACGUUUCGACGGUAUCUAACCAGAAAGCCACGGCUAACUACGUGCCAGCAGCCGCGGUAAUACGUAGGUGGCAAGCGUUAUCCGGAUUGAUUGGGCGUAAAGGGAACGCAGGCGGUCUUUUAAGUCUGAUGUGAAAGCCUUCGGCUUAACCGGAGUAGUGCAUUGGAAACUGGGAGACUUGAGUGCAGAAGAGGAGAGUGGAACUCGAUGUGUAGCGGUGAAAUGCGUAGAUAUAUGGCAGAACACCAGUGGCGAAAGCGGCUCUCUGGUCUGUAACUGACGCUGAGGUUCGAAAGCGUGGGUAGCAAACAGGAUUAGAUACCCCAGUAGUC